AAAAGUUUAUUUUCGAACACAGGAUAGCACACUUCCAUAGUUAUUUUUUAUACAAAUAUCACAUUUUCAGUCAUACCCUGCACAUGCUUGUUAAACCUUUGGGGAUAACUACAACUUAAAGUUUUCCAAAUUAUUUCACAAGCCUCUCCAGUUUUCCUGAAGCCGCCCGGCGACAGAAACGAUUCUAACUCGCAUUAACUCUCCCUGGACCCUGUAAGUUAGGGGAGUUCGUUAUCUAAAAAGGGCAAAGAACGGGGUCGGGGUCAGGGUCAGAGUCAGGGCGGCAGUAACGCGGUGGCAGGCAUAGUUACCUCUCGGAUCAGAACACCUGAGCCGUGCAGGGGGCGGGGACGGGGGCGCCGGAGGGGCUGCAGGGUGCGUGGGCGCAGGAGCCUCGGCAGACAGCAACGAAUAGGGCCCCCGGAGAAAGUUGGGAUCCCAAGACCUCCCCGGCGACAAGGCUGUGAACGUCCCAGACAGCCUCCCCCUGCCCGCCGGCCCCGCCCGGCCCCACCGGGAGGGGAGGGCUCGGGCUACUCACCAUGCAGAGAGAGGAACAGCAAAGGCGCCAGAGGAGAGCCCCGACAAGUCAUCCCGGGGCCGCGGGGAGCGCGCCCGCCGUCCGCCCGGCUCCUCGUCGAGGCAACGGAGGCGCGGGCCGGGCUCUCGGCGCUCUCGGGGCAGUACGGACCUCCCAGAGCCACCGCCCGGCCGCAGUCCGUCCAGCGGGGCUGGGACAGUGGGGCGCGCAGACCAGUGAGGUCACUGGUCUCGUUCAUAAAGGCCAUUGUCCCAUUCUGCUUCAGCCUCUCACCCAAGCCUUCUGGAUUAAAGGUGAUACCUCUCCAAAGAAUGACAAGUCAUUCUGAUCAAUUUCUACAGCAGCACAGAUUAGGAUUCUUGGAGCCAUUCCGAAGUUCUGAGCCUCCAUCUAGCAGAUGUAAUUCUCCCAGGGCAACCUAGAAAUGAAAAUAGUAUGCACAGGAGAAAGACAAAUAUAUAAAGCAUCUAUGCAUUUGGACAAAGUUUGGAAGACAUGUAAAAAUUAAAAUAGUAUCAAGAUGGUGGAAUUAUGAAUAUGCUUUUCUUUUUGGAAAACAUUGCUGUUAGGAUUUCAAGUUUAAAAAAGGAGCACAUUAAGAUAUGCCAAUCACCUUUGACAAGAACACCCUGAAAAGAUACAAUUUGAUUAUGAAUUUAAAAUGCCUCAACUUUCCUAACUACUUCUAAUUUGCUGAAACCUCUUAUCAGAUCUCUGCUGGCAAGAAAAGAGUGAUAUGACAAUAUAGAAUUUUUUAUAUUAACAGAAGUGUAAUAUUUCAUCAUGGGUUCAUUCUCAUUCCUUUAAACUCCAGAGUAAGGACUAGAUUUUUUUUUUCAUCUAAUUCAGUUCUUUGCUUCAUCUUGUACUUAUAAUGCAGCCCCAAGCAGGGUAUAAGAGUAAGUAAUACAUGAAGAAAAACAAGAAAACUGCCAAAUGGCAGGUGCUACUCAGAACAGGACUCUGCUUCACUAUAAUCCCAGACUUAAGUAUAGAGAUAGAGGAGGUCCCUAGUGGCUUGAGGGUUAAGGACCUGGCAUUGUCACUGCUAUGGCUUGGAUCACGGCUGUGGUCCAAAAAAAGAAAUAUACAUGGAGAGAGAAUAUUUAUUCUUUAAUUAAAUUAAUAACCUAAUAAUCUAGGCUUAAAAGCCUUGAUAAGGCAAGUUACCUGAUAUACUUCUUAGUACAUUAAUUCAGCCAAUAUUUACUGAGUCUCUACACUGUGUAGGGCACUGGGUUGUGGUUAAACAUAAAAUAUAAAAUGUUAUCCUCACCCUUAAAUAACUUCCAUUUGCUCUUGGGAUAUAUCUGCAAUGUUAUGAAUCAGCCCAGAAAGAGCUCUCCUGCCCCUUGUCACCAUCAUGUACUUCUGCCUUGCCCUACAGGAGCUGCUGAGUUAUUAAGAGGACAGAGGGUACACUGUUGGGUGGAACAGGCAUUCUAAUUGAAAAAGAAGUGUGGCUUCUGAAAGGAAAGUGGAGAUGAUCAGAUUUCAGGAGGCAAUCUGGCUGCCCAAAAGCUGGGGGCAUAUAGUAAAUGGUGGAUUCAAAGGCAGCAGGUCAAGAGUUCUGAAAACUCCAAGUGCUGUACACAGAGGCACCCAGAAGGACAUUCUCACACGAAACAAGGAAAAAAAUGUGCUAUUUAAUUCAAAGAGAUAAUACCCCUGGCAUGUACUUUGACUAAAGUUUUUAUUGGUAAUGAGUUCUUCCAAACUCUUUUAUCCUAAUCUGCCUUAUGACCACAGUAGGAUUUCUUUAACACUCUUAAUUAUUCUGAGUGCUAAAGCAAUAGACAACAUCUUUCAUUUGUGUAAUUCUUCAUAAAUUUCAAAGCGCUUUCACAUAUUUUAUCUGAUUUGAUCUUCACAGCCGCCCCAGGGGGUAGGAAAGGCAAAUAGUAUUACCUCCUCUUCAUUCACUAAGAUACUAAGUCUCAAAAAGAUCAAGGGACACCUCAGGGAUUGCAAAUCCCAAUGUGCAGACCUGGAACCAACCCUAUGGUAUUUCCAGCCACACCACCAAAUCUUUUUCUUUUAUCUCUUUAUAAACUAACAUCUAAAGAAUUUUCACCAACCAUGGUAUGUUAAAGCUAUCCGUGGGGAACACUGCAGUGGCCUCCCCAAUAUUUAUACCACCUCCCCUCCAUCUCCACCACCAUUACAAGAGUAGCUGUAAAAAUCAAAUGAGACUAGCCUCAGCCUCACCUCAGGGAAGGGGUACUAUAGUUGGCCUAGCUGACCAAGGAAGAAAUGGAAAGGGCAAAAACCGGAACAAGGGACCCUGUUAUAGUGUAAUAAUAAUCUUGGAUCAAAAACACUGAUGACCUGAGAAUACAGUCAACUUCUAAAUAUUUAGAUAGGAACUAUCCAAAUUCAAACUUUAGUCCUAGACCAGCUUCUUUCCUCCACCCAUCAAAUGUUAGACCAUCUCUUUCCAAAAUCAGUUACUCUGCGUUCAAGAAUGGAAAAUUAGGAGUUCCCUUGUGGCCUAGCAAUUAAGGAUUCAGCAUUGUCACUGCUGUGGCUGGGGUUUGACACCUGGCCAGGGGAACUUUCAUGUGCCUCGGGAACAGCCAAGGAAAAAAAAUGAAAAAUUAAUUUGUGAUCAGCUUAGGAGAAAUAUAGCUGGGGAAGGAAAACUAUGGAGGGAAUUAUAACGCUUUCCAAAGCUAAAUAUUAGUUACUUGAAUUAGCUAAUUUAAAUUAUUACCAGAACCUAUCCCUCUCUAUGCAUGUGUAUAAUUAAAGGCUGUUAAU
rnacentral:lncRNA from 1 species